rnacentral:rRNA from 1 species
AUUAACAGGAUUAAUACCCUGGUACUCCACGCCGUAAACGAUGAGUGCUAAGUGUUAGAGGGUUUCCGCCCUUUAGUGCUGCAUCUAACGCAUUAAGCACUCCGCCUGGGGAGUACGGUCGCAAGACUGAAACUCAAAGGAAUUGACGGGGGCCCGCACAAACGGUGGAGCAUGUGGUUUAAUUCGAAGCAACGCGAAGAACCUUACCAGGUCUUGACAUCCUCUGACAACUCUCAAGAUAGAGCGUUCCCCUUCGGGGGACAGAGUGACAGGUGGUGCAUGGUUGUCGUCAGCUCGUGUCGUGAGAUGUUGGGUUAAGUCCCGCAACGAGCGCAACCCUUGAUCUUACUUGCCAGCAUUUAUUUGGGCACUCUAAGGUGACUGCCGGUGACAAACCGGAGGAAGGUGGGGAUGACGUCAAAUCAUCAUGCCCCUUAUGACCUGGGCUACACCCGUGCUACAAUGGAUGGUACAAAGGGCUGCAAGACCGCGAGGUCAAGCCAAUCCCAUAAAACCAUUCUCAGUUCGGAUUGUGUGCUGCAACUCGCCUACAUGAAGCUGGAAUCCCUAGUAAUCGCGGAUCAACAUGCCGCGGUGAAUACGUUCCCGGGCCUUGUACACACCGCCCGUCACACCACGAGAGUUUGUAACACCCGAAAUCGGUGGAGUAACCGUAAGGAGCUAGCCGCCUAAUGUGGGACAGAUGAUUGGGGUGAAGUCAUAACAAGGUAGCCAAUC